rnacentral:rRNA from 1 species
UACGUAGGGACCAAGCGUUGUUCGGAUUUAUUGGGCGUAAAGGGCUCGUAGGCGGUCUGUUGCGUCGGGAGUGAAAACUCAGGGCUUAACCCUGAGCCUGCUUCCGAUACGGGCAGACUAGAGGUAUGCAGGGGAGAACGGAAUUCCUGGUGUAGCGGUGAAAUGCGCAGAUAUCAGGAGGAACACCGGUGGCGAAGGCGGUUCUCUGGGCAUUACCUGACGCUGAGGAGCGAAAGUGUGGGGAGCGAACAGG